rnacentral:rRNA from 1 species
AUUGAACGCUGGCGGCAUGCCUUACACAUGCAAGUCGAACGGUAACAGGUCUUCGGAUGCUGACGAGUGGCGAACGGGUGAGUAAUACAUCGGAACGUGCCCGAUCGUGGGGGAUAACGAGGCGAAAGCUUUGCUAAUACCGCAUACGAUCUACGGAUGAAAGCGGGGGAUCUUCGGACCUCGCGCGGACGGAGCGGCCGAUGGCAGAUUAGGUAGUUGGUGGGAUAAAAGCUUACCAAGCCGACGAUCUGUAGCUGGUCUGAGAGGAUGAUCAGCCACACUGGGACUGAGACACGGCCCAGACUCCUACGGGAGGCAGCAGUGGGGAAUUUUGGACAAAAGGCGAAAGCCUGAUCCAGCCAUGCCGCGUGCAGGAUGAAGGCCUUCGGGUUGUAAACUGCUUUUGUACGGAACGAAAAGCCUCUUUCUAAUAAAGAGGGGUCAUGACGGUACCGUAAGAAUAAGCACCGGCUAACUACGUG